GGUCACUUCACGAGCCAUCAUGGACCUGCUGUGGUUGGUCACUGCGCUCCUGCUGGCGAUCGUUGCGUGCGUGCAAGGGGCGUCUUCGGGACACGACUCAGCGACGCAGAUUCCAGCACUGCACGCGGCCGCCCUCGAAGACUUCAGUCCCUACGCGGGGCAGGCGGGAAGAAGCAGCGGCACGAAGAAGAAAUGCGGUUGAAAGAAGAACAAUAUUGUGACGCGGACAUGUAGAACCACCACCGCGUCAAUAAAUACGGCCUGAAAUGCACACACUUACCAUUUAAUAAUAAUAAUGACUGCAUUGUACGAUACCUGACUAAAAGAAAAGUGUUAUUUUUGUCUUUCAAGUAAGUACCGUUUUGAAAUUCGGCCAUGCUGCGGUCGGAAUUACAUACGCGCAUGCGGGCUGUGUUACCUGCAUCUGUUGGCAAGCCGCAGUCGCCAUUACGCGGACGUUUUUACUUUUGUUUGUGAGAAUUUAAAAUGCAACCCCCGAUUGAGAUCCCUCCCUCCCCCCCCCCCCCCCCGACUGUGAAAUACGCGCUGUGAUUCCUUUUUUUUUUUUUUUUAAAUGCUGAAGGCGUGAAAGUGGCUGAAAUUCAUCGUAAGAUCAGUGAAGCCAGGUCCUCUCGAAUAAGAGUACAGUGUGCUACCGCUACGCCUCCAUGUUCUAUCCAAGCUUUGUGAUGAACAGAACACUGUAAUUUUUGUUGCAAAUGGAUCGGAGAUAUUCACGUAAACUUACAAACGGUAUCACGGCAAAAUAGUGUCCGCAGUUAUACUGGUUUCGGAUUCUUACCCGGAAAUUUAUGCUUCGUGUUGUCCAAAUACAUCCAAUAAAGUUAGGCCUAUUUUUAAACCGUUUCCUGAAUAGCUUUCCAAUAUUAACUACGCAAAUAACAAGCAUAAAAAUGCAAUAAAGUAAAAUUUUUGAAUAUCUGAUUAUCUUUUCCAUAGAUUAUAUUUUUUUUUUUGCUGGAACUUAACAUGAAUUAAAAUAUAAAAUAAUUGCACCAAUUUUCGUAAGGAAUACUUCGAAUAAUCACGAAAAAAGUAUUUUAUAUAGGGCAAAAAUAUCUACAGUCAUGUUACAGUAUACAAAUUUACAGUAUAUUUUUUGUAGUAUUACAGCUGGUUUCCAAAGGAAUGCUUUGUAAAAGUACAUAAAAUAUACUUUUUCUUUGUAGUGUCCAUUUUUUUAUGGAUUCAUGUAGCUAUUAACAUUGUAUGGAGCAAGGUUUAUUUUCAAUAAUAUUUUUUAGCCUAAAAAUUUGCUUUAUCUAAUCUUGUGUACGGCACAUUACCACAUACGUUUGAUAAUAUUGAAACUCCAUGAAAACUAUAUGGUGAAUUAUCGAGGUCCUAUUUUCGCACGCCAUGCUUGCGCGUUUACCUUCGCCGGGGCGAUGUCCGUUGCUUUGAAGUCACCUACGGGGACCGUUGUUCAUCUUGACGGCGUUUAACCUAUUCCUUGUCGGCGUGUAACGAGGUUAUCUGUCUGCCGGCGUGGCGCUAACGAGGAAGCCGGGAGAGCAAUGACAAUCCCACCAAUCGACCGCCUGACGAAUCGACGGCUGUUCCGAGUCCUAUCGAUUCGAACAAGCUCCCCGCCGACAAGAUGGCGCCUGGGGAAAACAUCCUUGCACGUUCGCGGCGACACCGGGUCCGCAGAGUGCCGGUCGUUUGUUUCCAUCCCGAGUUUGGGAGCUUUCGUGACGCUCACCAAGAUCGAUAUUAAUGUUCGCCCGGCGAACAAAUGAGGAAUGAUGAUGCGUCAUCCACUCCUGGUUUGCGACGUAUUGGGCUAUAGGCGGGGCGCGGUCGACUGCGCGCGCGAGAGGGUGUGCGAGCUAUCGAUAUCUCGCGCCGGCAUCGCAGGCGCUGCCAAUGUUGCGUUAGAGUAAGAGUUGGGUUCGAAAUUUAAAAAAAAAAAAAAUUGGUUGUUUUUAAAGUUGGUUUACGGACGAUAGCUUAAUGUGACAACGUCAUAACAAAACAUUGAUGAAAUGAUUGCAUACUUUUAUGAAUAAAAUUGAAUCAUUUUUAUUGAAUUAUCACUAUUUUGUAUGGAUAUAAAGAAGGAGUUAAAUAAAAUCUACAUUUAUUUACUACA